CACCUGGGGGUCUAGCCAUAUUGGUGUCGAAAAGUAUUCUACAUACACUACCGCUUUUGCGUAAUUGUACUGUCGAAAACGCUUCGUUCGUAGCCAAGAGGCAUGUCGAUACAUUACCGCAAAGUCGACAGCGUAGAUGCGAGCUGCUGUUCGUAGCACCUUAUUCCGUCAUAUUGUCUCUGGAUUAAAUGUAUUCCUAAUGUCACUUUUAUAAACAAAUAGAAGUUAAAACUUUACAAUAUUUUUGUAAAUUUGCAAUUGGAAGCUGCAAAAGGGACAUUAGAAUGUCAGCAAGGUUGGAACAAUUUUCGAUUUAAGUGGAAUUUACGGAAGGAUUUGACCUCACAACUAAUCUGCAAAAUGAAGAAGCAACAUAUUUUGUUACCGCUUAGAAGAAACAAUAGAAAUAGUACUGUGGAUUGAUAAAUAAAGAGUGUAAAUAACUUCUAGUCAGUUGAUAAAGUCCAAGGAAUUAAAAAACAAUAGAAAAAAAACGUAGACUAGUGAGAACACUGAAAUUAGAGUUUGAUUUAAGCUUUAAUUAGGUUUGGUGUUUGUGCUUGAACAUUUUUAAUGUCAAUUUGAAAGCAGAUUUUUAUAUAAGUGUAGAUUUUAUUAGUGAUUUGCUACUAGUUGGAAUUAUCUCUGUUUAUGUCCAUCAAACAAUUUCAGUUUAAGUUAGAGUCAUAAAGGUUGAUUGUUUAUAAUAUAUUUAUAAAAAAGAGGGAUUAAUUAAAAUUAUAAAAUAGAAAUUUAGUCUUAAAUUAUAACCCUUAACCAACCUUUGACUCCAUAUUGAUGCUCCAACAUCUUAGUUAUAAAGUUAAGUUUGAUGCUUAUUUUAAGUUAAUAUUUAUGUCAAUUAACUUUUGUUUAUAUCAGUGAUUUGCUACUAGUGAAUAUGUAAAUGCAAAAUCUGUUUAAGUAAGAAAUGAAUAAACAUUGUAUGUUGUCAGUUUUAUUUUUGGCAAUUUACCUAUGUCUUCUUUAGUAGGAAAAGCCAUUAAAGUGGUUCACAAUAUUAGUUUAUUUUACAAGAAUAUACAGAUAAUGCAUAUAUGAAUGUCCCGUACCUACUAAUAGUUAGGAAUAUUAAACAAACAGGUAGCAAAAUAAAAAUGUUUCAGUUAU